CCAUUUGCAUUUCUUUAUUAGUUGUAUGUAAGAAUUGGAUGGAACUAAACAGAUUAACUACUAAAUAGUAAGAUCGAAAUAUUCUUUUUCUGUUUAGUUUCCUCCAAUAUCUUAUCUCCAACUUCUAAACUAUACAACGCAAAAAUAAAGUUCUAAGUAAUUGGAGGACCAAAACAGACAUGUC
rnacentral:pre_miRNA from 1 species